UGAGGGACAGACACGGAUGUACAAAGACAAAAAUAGGAACAAAUAUUUGAGUGAUUUAUUUGGACCUGGAAGUAUGGCGGUUUCCACUCGUAGACCUAAAGAGAAUGGACAGUCUGCCUGUCAAUCACUGCAGGCCCUCCAAGCUGAUGCCUGAAGGCGGGGCCAUUGAAGGAUGGCAAGCACCCGGCAAUGAAGCCCUACCACGUGAGCAGGCCGAUGACGGCUUGGAUUGUGCAAUGAGGCUUCCGUAGACCGUUCCCCUCGGUGAUGACGAAAUAUGGCGGCUACUGUGGAUAUAUGGCGGGUGACAGUGCUCCGAUCUCACAAGUGCUGCGUGAUUGGGUCCUCUGGCCCCACCAACCACUUCCAGAAAUUGCUCUGGAAGAGGGAAAGAGGAAGUUUGCCCCAUCCACUCGUGUGGUGAGUUUCCAAGUGACCUAAUUUUCCUGCAGCGGUCGCAAGCUGACCUUCCCCAGGUAAGUCUCUUUGUAGAUUUGUACAAUCAUCACCUCCCUCAGGAUCUGUGAUGGGAACGUCCUGUUCUGGUCAGCCGGUGGGCCCGUAAUGAGAGGAGAGGACCCUGAACCAAUAGUCAAGACCAGCCAUACAGAUGUUGCCGAGACCGUGUCACCCAUCGUGUUUCGUUCACAAUGAGUUUCCAGUAUGUGAGUCUGAAAGACCCUCGGCCCUUUCUUCCUGUCAUCUCUGAGCCUCAGC